rnacentral:rRNA from 1 species
CUGGAGGUAGUGACAAUAAAUCACAAUGCGGAACAAUGUUUUGCAAUUGGAUUGAGAACAACGUACAAACCUUAUCGAUAAACAAUUGGAGGGCAAGUCUGGUGCCAGCAGCCGCGGUAAUUCCAGCUCCAAUAGCGUAUAUUAACGUUGUUGCAGUUAAAAAGCUCGUAGUUGAAAUGAAGGGUAGUUGUGUAAUGAAUACAUUCGUGUAUUUUGUUAUUCUACUACCCUCCUUCUAAAUUCGAUAUAUGAGUAUUAAUUUACUUGUAUAUGGUUUUAGACCUUUACUGUGAGAAAAUUAGAGUGUUCAAAGCAGGCAUUUGCUUGAAUAUAUUAGCAUGGAAUAAUCAUGUAUGAUUUUCAUGAUGUAUUUGAUUGGUUUGGUUCAUGACAAUAAGAUUAAAAGGGAUAGUUGGGGGUAUUCAUAUUCAAUAGUCAGAGGUGAAAUUCUCGGAUUUAUGGAAAAUGAACAAGUGCGAAAAGCAAGUGGUUUUGCA